GCAAGGAUUCUGACUAAGAAGAGCAGUCAACCAACAACCACUGGAGUAGAGCCCAAACUUCCAUUCAUUUGAAUCAAGAAGUACAUCGGCAAGGUUGUGGACCCCCAAGACAUCAUCAGUGAGAAAAUAGACUGAGCCAUGAGAAAUUAUGUAAGUAUUUCAUUCACGACUAAGGUGCUUGUUGAAACAGACUGCCAAAUCCUAUCUUUGUGGAAUGAAGAGGGAAGGCAGCUAUCAGUUGGGUGUCAGUGCACCCGCAAGAUGAAGAUUACUCCUUUAUCCAUCUAGGAUUCAAGUUGGGCGAUAUUAUUCGAUCAGAGAACAUAUCGUCUGAGGCAUAAUCUUUCCUGAGGUCGAUCUUAAAAGAAGGAUUUUCCAGAGAUAAAUCAUGUAAUAUGGGGCUUUUGUAGUUUAGAUGGGCAGUGCUUGUGCACUUUAUGAAAUGCUUAUGAUGUUCCCAUAUGUAAAGAUUUGGUAUUAUGGAGCUCAAGAA